rnacentral:rRNA from 1 species
ACGGAGGAUGCGAGAGUUAUCCGGAUUUAUUGGGUUUAAAGGGUGCGUAGGCGGAUAGAUAAGUCAGUGGUGAAAACCUGCAGCUUAACUGUAGACUUGCCGUUGAUACUGUCAGUCUUGAGUAUGGUCAAGGUAGGCGGAAUGUGUAAUGUAGCGGUGAAAUGCUUAGAUAUUACUCAGAACACCGAUUGCGAAGGCACCUUGCUGGUCCAUUCCUGACUCUGAUUCACGAAAGCUUGGGGAUCGAACAG